GUCAGUGGUUUUUGUGAUUUCUUUGCCCGUUAGGCAAUGGGCAAGCGCCUUCAUUCUGCAGACAUCUGCAUGUAACAUGAACAUCGGUGAAUCCAACCUCAUUAACAGGACUUUUGAAGAAACUUUGAACACGGCAAUUCAAAGAUCUGCUGAACUUAUAACAAACGUCAACGAAUCUUUAACCAGGCUUGCGAGUCGGAACAGUCGAUUGCAACGUGUUUCGGUUACAAACAUUACUGCACUUUUGCAAGAAAAUUAUUUAAACACAAAGGAUAAAAAUGUAGAAGAAGUAUUGUUCGAUGACUUGACUGUUCUUCAAUCAUUGGCGGCAACUUUAGAGGAUAAUAGAAACAAUAUGACUUGCAAUGGUGCCGAUGAUUUGAAGUCACUGUUUGACACAUUUAUCACGGAUAUAUUGGCGAUAUGCUGUGACCUUGAACUGUUUCUACACAAGGGAGCUGAGGUUAGAGGAAAAUCAGUCUGCAACAUGAAAGAUUUCGCCACGUGUUUAGUCUGUUCAUACGCCAUUGUCCUAGAUGUCCAGAAAAUACUUAUUUCCGUUGGAGAUCAUUUUCAGUCAUUUUUUUGAAAUAUAAAAAUUCUGAUCUGGACAAGUCUUUGAUUUAAAUACAUCUGUUGACAAUUGGUUAUUGACAUAUUUUUGCGACAAUGUAAACAAAUAUACAUGUGUAUAAUUAUAAGUAGAUUGUAUCAAUCAAGGGAAAAUAUAGAUGUACAUGUAUUUAUUUGCUCUGUGAAGAGUGUCAAUAUUGUUACUCUCACUGUCCUUUUUGCAUUGGCGUAAAGUUUUUUUCAUGCCUGAAACAAAUGUGUGCAUAAUUUAAAGAUUAAUAGAACAUAAAAGUUUUUAUACAACACAUAUUGGAAUAACACAUUUUAUUGCAUUUGCAACAUGUGUGCAUAUGACAUAACAUUGAACUGAAUUAUGGAAUUAUGUCAUGAAUGUGCGCCAAGAAUCUAAAUGAUUGAAAACAUUUUUAACUUCUGGUCAUGAAUUUUAAAUAAUUUUUCCAAAGCAAUGUAUAAAAUGAAAGAUGAAAGUAUGUUUCUUGAUAAAUCGCUUUUAACAGAUCGCUUAUUUUAAACAAAUUUUGGAACUACUAUUUUGCCUAUAAAAUAUCUAAAAGAAUUAUAUUUUUAUAAAAUAUUAAAAAAUGCGUUGUCUGUCUUUAUAACUUCUUAAAAUUUUGAGGUAUUCACAUCAUAAUUGGUGAGAACAUAAGCUAUGGUUUUCUUUUAUAGAAAUCGCAAGAAAAAUAGGAGAAAGGCAUUGAUUUUGUUUUGUUUUACUGAUAGUGUUUAUUUAAAAAUAAGACAACGUACACGGUUUAAAAUGUUUUUUUAUAGUGAUUAAAAAAAUAUUCGUCCGUAUAACGUUACAAGACAUUAAACUGUUUACACGUAUCUAGUAUUGGUAAAAUGUAAGAAUAGUUAAAAAAUCUGAUCCAUUUUUUCUGGAGAAUCAAGCUUUUAUAACCAAACUAAUGACGUUUGUAUAUAGAGGGAACAAUAUGUUUUGUAUUUUUCAUAAAACUCUGAUUUUUGGAACGUAUUAGGUUCAAAAGUGCUAUAAAUUAUAUAUAGAAACAGAAAUACCACUUAUAUACUCGUUUAAUGUUAAGAUUUGAAGCUUUCAAAGACAAUUACUGAUUAUUUCAAUUGGCAAAACGACUACACCAAGUGCAUAUGAAAAGGUAUAAAAUCACAUUGUUACUUCUGUGCUUGGCAUACCUACAAGCUAAAAAAAAAAUGAACUUUUGGAGUAAUUUUGCAUUAAAAUGUUCAGGCAUGUAUCUGUUCCUUAGUUGUCAAAAUCUAACAAAAAAAUAAUGAAAAUUAUUGUAUUAGCUUAUUUUAAAGCUGAACAAUGGUCUUUUUGCACUCAUAAAUACAACUUGCUCUAUCUUAUUGGUUUUAAAAUAUUAGCUUAUCAACCACAUGGAGAAAAAAGAUUCUGACAUUCUGUGUUUUUAUGUUAAAUUUGUUUGUACUUUUUCCUUGUUUAUUACACUGAUGAGAGCAGCGGUCAAUGCCCUGUGUAUUUGUUUAUAGGCUCUGGACUCGAUGAUUUAGAGUUGACACUUCUAGAGUAGCUAGAUAAUCUCAUUGUCUUACGAAUAUAUAGCCAAUCCUUGUAUCAACAAUGCAUUGCCAAUGUAUUGAUUUAUUUGGCGAUGGGAAAUAAAUAAUAAAACAAUAAGAGAGUAAAAAGUGUUUCAUGCCAUUUAUGUGGUACUGUAUAGUAUAAAUCAUUUUAAUGGGCUAUUAUA